rnacentral:rRNA from 1 species
UACAGAGGGUGCGAGCGUUAAUCGGAAUUACUGGGCGUAAAGCGCGCGUAGGCGGCUUUGCAAGUCGGGUGUGAAAUCCCCAGGCUUAACCUGGGAACUGGCGAUUCGAGACUGCAUUGCUAGAGUAUGGGAGAGGGAAGUGGAAUUUCCGGUGUAGCGGUGAAAUGCGUAGAUAUCGGAAGGAACAUCAGUGGCGGAAAGCGACUUCCUGGACCAAUACUGACGCUCAUGUGCGAAAGCGUGGGGAGCAAACAGG